rnacentral:lncRNA from 1 species
UUUUUCUUUCCCCGAUAUUUUCAAUUAUUACUUCCCAAUCUUGGAACCAUCAGCCAUCUUAGGGAUUUUUGGAUUGUUCUUAGCUUUACUAUUCUUCAUGAACAAGUCGUCAACAGUUAAAAGCUCAAGUGAUAUUUAUCUUCUUUGUCAUUCUCUGUUUUAGCAAAAUCCAAAAUAGACUCCAUCGGAGAACUUAGAUCCGAAAAGAACACAAAAGCCAUCUUUGAGAUUCUUUGCUGAAGAAGGGAUCCAGUGGACAACUAACUUACCAAUGGCCUUUGAUUAGCGUGGUUUGUGAUAUGUUGGUGUGUAUUGAUGGCAUGAUAUUAUAUUUUGGCUGCUAUGCUGUAACCCGAUGUGGUUAUGUCUCAAGAUAGUGUCAUUAUUCUGGUUUAUGCAGUGUUUUGAGGAUGGCAGGGCAUGAAGGUGAAUCUGAUUCUAUUUCAUGCUAAAGGAAUGGAGGAUGGUCUUUCUACUCAUUGUGUUUCUCUUGUAGAUUUUGUGUUUUUGACUCUUGCGCUGUACAGGGAUAUUAUGUCUAUGGGAUGAUUUUUGGGUGGGGUUUAAGCUUAUGACUGAAAACGUCGGGCGUCUAGCAGAGUCUUUGUUUUCAUCCCAAGUGUAACCAAAUUUUUGAUUUUGAUAUUCUAUACGCAAAUUCAAGUAAUGAAAUUAAGAUAAUUGCCUUGUAUGGCUUAUGUGGCUUGUACUUGCAUCAAUCUGGUUCUCUCUGUGUCAAAUAUUGUGACCAAUGGAGUUGCUCGAGACCCAGAUAUGAAGAGGAUGAUCAAGUGCGGCUUUCUCUUUUCUUUUUCCCCAUUUUUAAGCUUUGUGCUAUUCCACCAUUGCAUUAAUCACUUCUGUAAAAC